GGAGGUGUCCGGCGACCUGGUGGCGCCCCCCGCCUUCAAAGCGGGUGAGUGAGGCGAUCCCUCACUGGCGGGUUCGAUUCCCGUCCACCUCCG
rnacentral:tRNA from 1 species